UACGUAGGGUGCGAGCGUUGUCCGGAAUUACUGGGCGUAAAGCGUGCGCAGGCGGUUGUGUAAGACAGAUGUGAAAUCCCCGGGCUCAACCUGGGAACUGCAUUUGUGACUGCACGGCUUGAAUCCGGGAGAGGGAUGCGGAAUUCCAGGUGUAGCGGUGAAAUGCGUAGAUAUCUGGAGGAACACCGGUGGCGAAGGCGGCAUCCUGGACCGGCAUUGACGCUGAGGCGCGAAAGCCAGGGGAGCAAACGGG
rnacentral:rRNA from 1 species